rnacentral:tRNA from 1 species
AAGGCUUUAGCUUAAUUAAAGUGUCUGUUUUGCAUACAGAAGAUGUGGAUUAAUGUUCUGCAAGUCUUA